GGUGCUGUGCGUCGGCGGAUCAGGCGGUCAUGUGGAGCCUCCGCGGCCUGCGCCUGGCGGCUGGACUUCAAGUACUAUGCCUGAUAUAGCUGUCUCCUGAGAGGCUCUGCCAGAGUCCACAAAUACAGAGGCGGAUGUCGAAGCCAACCAUUGAACUGAGAACGGGGUCUCCAAUGGAAGAGUUAGAGAAAAGACUUGAAGUAGCUGACGGGGUUUGCAACCCCAUAAGAAGAACACAGUAUCAACCAACCAGACCCCCCAGAGCUCCCAGGGACUAAACCACCAUUCCAAGAGAACACAGGGAUGGACCUAUGGCUCCAUCCGCAUGUGUAGCAGAGGAUGGCCUUGUUGGGUAUCAGUGGGAGGAGAAACCCUUGGUCCUGAGAAGGCUUGAUGCCCUAGUGUAGAGGAAUGCCAGAGCAGGGAGGUGGGAGGGAGUGGGUGGGUGGGGGAAGGAGCACCCUCAUAGAAGAUGGGGGAUGGGAUGGGAUAGCAUCUGGAGGGGAAACCAGGAAAGGGGAUAACAUUUUAAAUGUAUAUAUUAAAAAAUCCAAUAAAAGAAAAAAAAUACCUGUGGACCUAAGAUGAA
rnacentral:lncRNA from 1 species